rnacentral:rRNA from 1 species
UACGGGGGGAGCAAGCGUUGUUCGGAUUUACUGGGCGUAAAGGGCGCGUAGGCGGCCAGCACAAGUCAGUUGUGAAAUCUCCGAGCUUAACUCGGAACGGUCAACUGAUACUGUGCGGCUAGAGUGCAGAAGGGGCAACUGGAAUUCUUGGUGUAGCGGUGAAAUGCGUAGAUAUCAAGAGGAACACCUGCGGCGAAGGCGGGUUGCUGGGCUGACACUGACGCUGAGGCGCGAAAGCUAGGGGAGCGAAUGGG